CAGCAGCCACGGGAAUACGAAGGGGGCUAGCGUUGUUCGGAUUUACUGGGCGUAAAGGGCGCGUAGGCGGACUGAUAAGUCAGGGGUGAAAUCCCAAGGCUCAACCUUGGAACUGCCUUUGAUACUGUUUGUCUUGAGUUCGAGAGAGGUAAGUGGAACUGCGAGUGUAGAGGUGAAAUUCGUAGAUAUUCGCAAGAACACCAGUAGCGAAGGCGGCUUACUGGCUCGAAACUGACGCUGAGGCGCGAAAGCGUGGGGAGCAAACAGGAUUAGAUACCCCGGUAGUCCCUGUCUCUUAUAC
rnacentral:rRNA from 1 species